rnacentral:rRNA from 1 species
AUUGAACGCUGGCGGCAGGCCUAACACAUGCAAGUCGAGCGAGCGGCGGACGGGUGAGUAAUGUAUGGGGACUGCCCGAUAGAGGGGGAUAACUACUUGAAACGGUAGCUAAUACCGCAUACUAUCGGAUCACCCAUAUUGGAUUAGCUAGUAGGUGAGGUAAUGGCUCACCUAGGCGACGAUCCCUAGCUGGUCUGAGAGGAUGAUCAGCAAGACGAGGACGGAGACACGGCCGAGAGUCCACCGGAGGCAGCAGUGGGGAAUAUUGCACAAUGGGCGCAAGGAUGAUGCAGACAUGCCUCGUGUAUGACGAAGGCCCUAGGGUUGUAAAGUACUUUCGGUCGGGAGGCGUUGCCGACAGAAGAAGCACCGGCUAACUCCGUGCCAGCAGCCGCGGUAAUUC